rnacentral:rRNA from 1 species
GAAUACUAGGUGUGGGAGGACUGACCCCUUCCGUGCCGCAUUAACACAAUAAGUAUUCCACCUGGGGAGUACGGCCGCAAGGCUGAAACUCAAAGGAAUUACGGGGGCCCGCACAAGCAGUGGAUUAUGUGGUUUAAUUCGACGCAACGCGAAGAACCUUCCAGGACUUGACAUCCAACUAACGAAGUAGAGAUACAUUAGGUGCCCUUCGGGGAAAGUUAGACAGGUGGUGCAUGGUUGUCGUCAGCUCGUGUCGUGAGAUGUUGGGUUAGGUCCCGCACGAGCGCAACCCCUGCCUGUAGUAGCCAGCAUGUAAAGAUGGGAACUCUACAGGGACUGCGGGGUCAACCCGGAGGAAGGUGGGGAUGACGUCAAAUCAUCAUGCCCCUUACGGCCUGGGGACACACGUGCUACAAUGGCACAACAAAGAGACGCGAUCCCGCGAGGGGGAGCAAACCUCAAAAUAGUGUCCCAGUUCGGACUGUAGUCUGCAACCCGACUACACGAAGCCGGAAUCGCUGUAAUCGCGGAUCAGAAUGCCGCGGUGAAUACGUUCCCGGGUCUUGCACUCACCGCCCGU